CCUGACUAUGGAAGACCUUCGCAGCUCCAUUGCCGCUGCCAACGUCAACCAGGCCAAGGGGGGCUUCGAUGGCCCUCGCCAGGCC
rnacentral:tRNA from 1 species